rnacentral:rRNA from 1 species
UACGUAGGCAGCGAGCGUUGUUCGGAGUUACUGGGCGUAAAGGGUGCGUAGGCGGUUGUUUAAGUUUGGUGUGAAAUCUCCCGGCUCAACUGGGAGGGUGCGCCGAAUACUGAAUGACUAGAGUGCGGGAGAGGAUAGUGGAAUUCCUGGUGUAGCGGUGAAACGCGUAGAUAUCAGGAGGAACACCGGUGGUGUAGACGGCUAUCUGGACCGUAACUGACGCUGAGGCACGAAAGCGUGGGUAGCAAACAGG